CUGCGUCUUCAAGUCAAAGAGGAGGAGGAGAAGGAGUCGUGAGCAUCAUCUUGCCUAGCCAUCAUCCACCCUUGUGCCGUAGCCUUGAGAAGACUUGCUUUCAAGAUCUUCAACUUCCAACGUCUCAAGUGUUCAUCAUUCAUCCUUCACGGUGGUUAAAUUGCAUGGCAAGAGGUAUCAUAUCACAUCCCAGCUCAUGACAAUGUGAAUAACAUUUUUACUCUUCUAAGAGGGCUGACUCACGUCCAGCACCUAACACUAUAUGACCGCACCCUUGGGGCAUGAGACUUAAAAAAUUUAAUCUCUGUUUGGUAUCUUUUUUAAGCUUAUACAUUAUUACUGUUACUAAUCUUAAUUAAUCUAUCAAGGUGGCUGGAUAUCUAUUUGACAACUAUGGUAAUGGGGAAAGUCUAGAUGAACCAGAAGUUUGGCCCUAUUUAGAGAAGCAGUACCCAUUUUUCCUUUGCUGAACAACAUUACCGUAUGCAUCUCACACAGGUUUGGCUGGAAAGUUCUACCGUAUUUACUGGACAAUACUCCAGCAGUGGAGGUCCUUGCAAUAGAAAUGGUGAUAAGGGACACGUUGCUGAGGGUGACAGGUAUGCUUGGGAUCCACCAAUCCAGAGGCCUGGAUGUUUGACUCACAGCAUUCAAGAAGUGCAGCUUUGGGGGUUUCAUGGGAACGAUGAGUUAUUGGCAGUGGUUGAGUACUUUCAGCAGAUUUUAGCUACAAUCAGGGAGUUUGACAUCAUCAUCACCUGAAGAUGAAGGGCCGAUGACUAGGCUGUAACUCAACAUUUAGUUUCUUAUUCCUGUUCUGUUCUGUUAUGUGGAAACCUAUCAACAUAUUGCUGGUUAUUCUAAGUAGGUUAAGUUUGUCUGUUUGGGAUGUUAUACUUGAAUAUUCUUGCUUGUUUGUUUAACGACAUUUUGGAAAAAUUGAUG